rnacentral:rRNA from 1 species
CCCUUCCUCCCAACUUAAAGUGCUUUACAAUCCGAAGACCUUCUUCACACACGCGGCAUGGCUGGAUCAGGCUUUCGCCCAUUGUCCAAUAUUCCCCACUGCUGCCUCCCGUAGGAGUCUGGACCGUGUCUCAGUUCCAGUGUGACUGAUCAUCCUCUCAGACCAGUUACGGAUCGUCGCCUUGGUGAGCCAUUACCUCACCAACUAGCUAAUCCGACCUAGGCUCAUCUGAUAGCGCAAGGCCCGAAGGUCCCCUGCUUUCUCCCGUAGGACGUAUGCGGUAUUAGCGUCCCUUUCGAGACGUUGUCCCCCACUACCAGGCAGAUUCCUAGGCAUUACUCACCCGUCCGCCGCUGAAU